CUCCCAGACUCCUACGGGAGGCAGCAGUGGGGGAUAUUGCACAAUGGAGGAAACUCUGAUGCAGCGACGCCGCGUGAGGGAAGACGGUCUUCGGAUUGUAAACCUCUGUCUUUGGGGAAGAAAAUGACGGUACCCAAAGAGGAAGCUCCGGCUAACUACGUGCCAGCAGCCGCGGUAAUACGUAGGGAGCGAGCGUUGUCCGGAAUUACUGGGUUUAAAGGGUGCGCAGGCGGCACGGCAAGCCGGCGGUCAAAUCGCGGGGCUCAACCCCGCCCAGCCGUCGGAACUGCCGGGCUAGAGUGGGCGAGAAGUGCGCGGAAUGCGUGGUGUAGCGGUGAAAUGCAUAGAUAUCACGCAGAACUCCGAUUGCGAAGGCAGCGCACCGGCGCCCUACUGACGCUCAGGCACGAAAGCGUGGGUAUCGAACAGGAUUAGAUACCCUAGUA
rnacentral:rRNA from 1 species